rnacentral:rRNA from 1 species
AUUAAACGCUGGCGGCAUGCCUUACACAUGCAAGUCGAACGGCAGCACGGGGGCAACCCUGGUGGCGAGUGGCGGACGGGUGAGUAAAGCAUCGGAACGUAUCCUGGAGUGGGGGAUAACGUAGCGAAAGUUACGCUAAUACCGCAUAUUCUGUGAGCAGGAAAGCAGGGGAUCGCAAGACCUUGCGCUCUGGGAGCGGCCGAUGUCGGAUUAGCUAGUUGGUGGGGUAAAGGCCUACCAAGGCGACGAUCCGUAGCGGGUCUGAGAGGAUGAUCCGCCACACUGGGACUGAGACACGGCCCAGACUCCUACGGGAGGCAGCAGUGGGGAAUUUUGGACAAUGGGCGGAAGCCUGAUCCAGCCAUGCCGCGUGAGUGAAGAAGGCCUUCGGG